AGUCCUCACAGUCUUUGAUGACUGAGAGUUUGUACCUCUCAAGAGGUUUAGCCUGAGGACUA
rnacentral:tRNA from 1 species